rnacentral:lncRNA from 1 species
UUUAUUUCCUUAUAGCAUAAAAAUUAUAUAUUAAUAAAAUAUUAAUAGUAUAGUUAUUAAAAAAGUUAUAAGUUAUAUCCAUAAUUUUAUUAAUUAUACCAGCAUAAAAUAAUGAAACAUUUAAAAAACAAUUAAUUAUAUUUUCCACUAUAAUCAGUUAUGUCAUAAAUAUUUUAUUAUUUUUUAUGUGCAUAAUAGAUCAUGUUACUAUAUUUUCUUCUGAGUUAUUAUUUUUCUAAGUUUUACUCGUUUUUCACACUGUUAUUCUUCUUUCCAAUCUUCUUUCCAAUUGCAUAAACAGUACAUACAUAGCAACAGAAGCUACCCUUCACUUUGUGUCUUUCAACACUCCGUUUUGUACUGCCCCCAUCGAAAUAGGUUAAAACGUUUAUCAGUUAAGUGUUUAAACAUUAUCUCUCCUUCUGUUUACAGUCUGAAUAAUAUUUGUUGUACUUAUCAAGUAUAAAUAUGUUCUUUAAAAUAAAUCGAUAAGAAUAGCACACAUAAAAAUUUGUUAAGAAACAUGGUAAUUGAAAAUAUAAGAAAUGUGUAAAUAGCAAUUAUAGUGAAGAAUAUAUCCAAGGAGAUAAGACACACACAAUGAGGUAGAGUCACAGAGUAAAAUAAAAAAAAAUAUUAUAUUUUGAACUAUUAUAGUUCUUUGUUUAACCCAGAUUCCUAAUAAAGUACUCAAAAAACCUUUGUAAUGAGGGAGAGAGGGAACAUGUGAUUACAAUAGAAACAAGGUGACACAGUGAUAUUAGGUGGCAGAACAGAUGUGUAUAUGUGUGGUUUAGGGAGAAGAGUAAAGAUAUAUAGGUGGAAUAGACUGUUCAAGGUAUUUGGGGAAUCCACUAGCCAAAGUUUAUAGCACUAACAGCAUGACAAAGCACAUUAUUGGCAAGCAAAAGCCAAAACUAAAGUGCAAUUCUCGUAGUCAUCCUCACAUAGAAAGUUGUUGAGCCAAACUAUUUCCUGCUACAAAUUUGUUUUCUUACGCAAUUGAACUCAUAUUACAUGUUUCAGCUGAAUAGUUGUCUUAUCUAUGUUCGCAAAAUCCAAAACUGAGACUAACUCAUCAAAAUACAAAUUCAAUUAGCAUGCAACAAAUGAAAAACUACUGUUAUGCUAAUUCGAGUACAACUAGAGAGAUUUUUUUAUGAAUUGUCAAUAUUAACAAAAACAUCAAAUGUAACACAGAAAGACAAAUGAAUGUCGUACAUAAAUGCUGUAAAUGAGGCAGAAGUAUAAUUUUGAAAGCAAUAGUUCAUAUCCACCAAAGGUAAACCAACAAGGAAAAAUAAAAAGCUAAAAGCGAUAUUCCUCAUGUUCAAAGCCAUAUUACACUUUCAAAUCCAAUUUGUGCAACCCAAGGUAUUCUCAGAAACAAGCAUCCAACAGGCAGCAGCAGCAGAGAGCAGCCAAGCUGCAACAAUUCACAAAUUCAAACAAAUUAAGCCAAAUCCGUGAUUUAAACAAGAGAUUUAAACAAAGAGGCUGAUAAUUCAUAUGCUACCUUCCUCUUUCAAAUAUGUUCACAUUUUAAAAGUCUCAGUUCAUCAUAAAUUAUUAAUCCCUACUUCAAUCUGAUUAUUUUUUUCAAAUAUGUUCCCAUUUUAUAAGUCUCAGUUCAUCAUAACUUAAUUAACCCCUACUUAUAAAAUAAUUUGAUUUCUCAAUGCAUAACAGAGUAGUCCUAUAAUUAACCAACCAAAAAAAAAAGUUUAAUUUAAUAAAAUAUAAUUAUUAGUUGUACUAAUUGUUGUUAAAACAAAAAAAUAUAGAUUACUUAAGAAAAGGUGCAAGUGGCGGGUCCACCCAAAAAAGUGACAUCCGCCUCGAAUGACGUGCUAGUGAGAGAAAGUGCCAUUGACACAGACAAAACAACUCCUGAUAAAUGAUAAUGAAACAAACAAGGGCACACCAUAGAUGCGGUGCAUCCGCAACCUAGUCAAUCGAGUCAAUUCCGAUCUAAAAUGGGCGCACCUAGUCAAUCGCGUCAAUUCCGAUCUAAAAUUCGGAAUCGGAGUCACCACGAUCAUCUCCACUCACUCGAUUUUAAUUUUAUAAUUCAUUAUCUAUAGAGAAUUAGGGAGAUAAAAAACGCACCAUCCUUCUAAACAACCAGGACCCGAAGACUGAUGUUGUUGUUGAGGCGGAGGCUGAGCGUACUGAGGAGGCGCGUAGGGCGGAGGGUAACCCUGCGCUGGAUAUGGCUGCUGAGGGU